rnacentral:tRNA from 1 species
AAGAAAUUAGUUUAAACAAAACAUUAGAUUGUCAAACUAAAAAUAUCCUAACAAAUAUUUCUUA